rnacentral:rRNA from 1 species
UUUGAUCCUGGCUCAGAUUGAACGCUGGCGGCAGGCCUAACACGUGCAAGUCGAGCGGCAGCACGGGAAGCUUGCUUCCUGGUGGCGAGCGGCGGACGGGUGAGUAAUGCAUAGGAAUCUGCCCGGUAGUGGGGGAUAACCUGGGGAAACCCAGGCUAAUACCGCAUACGUCCUACGGGAGAAAGCAGGGGCUCUUCGGACCUUGCGCUAUCGGAUGAGCCUAUGUCGGAUUAGCUGGUUGGUGAGGUAAUGGCUCACCAAGGCGACGAUCCGUAGCUGGUCUGAGAGGAUGAUCAGCCACAUCGGGACUGAGACACGGCCCGAACUCCUACGGGAGGCAGCAGUGGGGAAUAUUGGACAAUGGGCGCAAGCCUGAUCCAGCCAUGCCGCGUGUGUGAAGAAGGCCCUCGGGUUGUAAAGCACUUUCAGUGGGGAAGAAAGCCUUCCGGUUAAUACCCGUCAGGAAGGACAUCACCCACAGAAGAAGCACCGGCUAACUCCGUGCCAGCAGCCGCGGUAAUACGGAGGGUGCGAGCGUUAAUCGGAAUUACUGGGCGUAAAGCGCGCGUAGGUGGCUUGAUAAGCCGGUUGUGAAAGCCCCGGGCUCAACCUGGGAACGGCAUCCGGAACUGUCAGGCUAGAGUGCAGGAGAGGAAGGUAGAAUUCCCGGUGUAGCGGUGAAAUGCGUAGAGAUCGGGAGGAAUACCAGUGGCGAAGGCGGCCUUCUGGACUGACACUGACACUGAGGUGCGAAAGCGUGGGUAGCAAACAGGAUUAGAUACCCUGGUAGUCCACGCCGUAAACGAUGUCGACUAGCCGUUGGGUCCUUCGCGGACUUUGUGGCGCAGUUAACGCGAUAAGUCGACCGCCUGGGGAGUACG